rnacentral:rRNA from 1 species
GAUGAACGCUGGCGGCGUGCUUAACACAUACAAGUCGAACGAGAAGUGGAGACGGAAACCUUCGGGCGGAAGACUUUAUUUCGAGUGGCGGACGGGUGAGUAACGCGUGGGUAACCUGCCUCAUACAGGGGGAUAACAGUUGGAAACGACUGUUAAUACCGCAUAAGACCACAGCACCGCAUGGUGCGGGGGUAAAAACUCCGGUGGUAUGAGAUGGACCCGCGUUCGAUUAGCCAGUUGGCGGGGUAACGGCCCACCAAAGCGACGAUCGAUAGCCGAUCUGAGAGGAUGACCGGCCACAUUGGGACUGAGACACGGCCCAAACUCCUACGGGAGGCAGCAGUGGGGAAUAUUGCACAAUGGGGGAAACCCUGAUGCAGCGACGCCGCGUGAGUGAAGAAGUAUUUCGGUAUGUAAAGCUCUAUCAGCAGGGAAGAAAAUGACGGUACCUGAGUAAGAAGCCCCGGCUAACUACGUG